CCUACGGGAGGCAGCAGUGGGGAAUAUUGGGCACUGGAGGCAACUCUGACCCAGCAACGCCGCGUGAAUGAUGAAGGUCUUCGGAUUGUAAAGUUCUGUGAUGGGGGAUGAACACAAUGACGGUACCCCAAUAGCAAGCCACGGCUAACUACGUGCCAGCAGCCGCGGUAAUACGUAGGUGGCAAGCGUUAUCCGGAAUGACUGGGCGUAAAGGGUGCGUAGGUGGUUUAGUAAGUUGGCGGUGUAAUUCCGGGGCUCAACCUCGGCGCUACCGCCAAAACUAUUAGACUAGAGUGCAGGGGGGGUAAGUGGAAUUCCUAGUGUAGCGGUGGAAUGCGUAGAUAUUAGGAGGAACAUCAGGUGCGAAGGCGACUUACUGGACUGCAACUGACACUGAGGCUCGAAAGUGUGGGUAUCAAACAGGAUUAGAUACCCCUGUAGUC
rnacentral:rRNA from 1 species